CCUCAGCUCCCAAAUGUUCAGUCAUUUUCUAUUCAUUCCGAUAGUUAGGUCACAUUUAAAUUUACACAUAGCGCAAGUUCCGAGCGAAUUUUUGAAUGACUCAUUUUAUGCUGCAACUACCUUAAUUCUAGUCCCGCCAAAUCGAUCGGUCAAUCGCGAUUUUCAGGAUCGGUGAGCCGACCGCGUCGUUGUUCGCGAUAGAGCGACAGACAAAAGUCGCACGCGAAUCGAAUAGGUGUCGUGCGGCUGUCGCAUGCCGGAAGAGAAGCCGAUCCUCCGCGGAAGAUCCGGCAGGAGGUGUACCUGCGGAUGGGAGAUAAAGCUCGGUUACGGCGUGGCUUACACGCUGGCCGUCUUCGAGGCCAAACGUUUCCUCGUGUUCGCCCUGGAAAUGUUCGCGGAGUGGCAGGUGAUCCGUUUUGCAGGUGGUUUCCAGCCGUUCGUUCUCACCUUGGCGGACGUGGCUCUGGGAUUACCGUGCGCGCUUAUAACCGUGCGCACUAUACGCAGAGGCGGGCCGAAUUUGCGCCCGAAGAACCACGCGCUAAGAACUAAGCGAGUGCUGCGGUAUCUCCUGGUGGCGGUGGUCGUGUGCGCCGCUAUGAACACCGCGACCUUGGCUUCGACAGGGUGUCACAUCAGUGUGAAGCGGGAGACGUUGGCCGGCGUCUUCAACGCCUCCAUGCGACUGUACGUCAGUGCGGCGUCCUACAAAUACGCCAUCGACGAGAUUCAAUUUACGCUGCAGUGCUGCGGUCACACCUCUUACGCCGACUGGUUCCGCUUCGAUUGGCAGAAGAUGGAUUACGGCGAGGAGAUGGCGGGGCAAGACGGAAUCUCGGACGAGGACUACGGGGAUCGCGGUGUACCCUUCAGCUGCUGUAGUCUGCGCGCGAUGGGGCCGUGUACGCACGCGGAGAUGACGAAUGACGAAACGAUCAACGUGCACGGCUGCGCGGAAGUCAUCAGCCCCAUUGUUCUUAGGGUUGUCAUAAUCGCUUACGUCAUGACUGGCACUUUAAUCGUCGCUCAAGUGCUAUUAGCCUUCUUAAUCGCCAGAACGAUCGGCAAAUCCCUGCCUCUUCGAUCGUCCAUUUCUCGCGCGAGACGUUCCGCCGCGCCGUUCACCAUUAUAAACACACUCCCAAGGACUUACGUGCCGCGAUUUUCCUCGGUGAAGAAAUCCGCCUGGUACAGGAGACCGAACGCCCGUCCAUCGUCGAACGACGACGUCUGCAUCAAGGAAAACCAGAAAGCUACGUCGCCCGCGGCGACAUGCAGUUGUCCUAUUUUGAAUCGAGGUAAUACCUGGGAGAUCGCGAGGAUUAAGCCGAGCGUUCACGAGGAACACAGAAUAUCCGUGAAACGCCUUCGCAGCAUGCACCUGCGUUGAAGCCUUUUUUGUGCUAAUUAUCUGCAGAUCUUCGGAGUGAUUAAAACAACGGUUCUUUCGGGCAACUGCGAACUAUCGGUGACAAAAUGCUAAUUACCUGCUAUUAGAGAUAAGUCGUGACGCAGUGUGGACAGACGGUGACCCCGGGGUGGGGGUAAGUAGUUAAAUUUCCUAUCUGAAACUCAAGAUCAGCACACGUGAGCUCAGUGCGGUUCAAAACAUCGUGCGAACGACGGUGACUCGUCAUGAGUGUUAUCGUGAUUGAGUCUCACGAGCGCCUAUACCGGGUGGCUGAGCCGUUCACGCGUGAAGUGUAAGGUGGCAGAUUUUUUUUCCACUCUCGCUAUCCC